UUUAUUUGGAGUUAUAAAUAAUUUAACCUGCCCCCUGAUUCUUAAAGGAUUAAAGGGCCGCAGUAUUGUAACUGUGCAAAGGUAGCAUAAUCAUUAGGUUUUUAAUUGAAAUCUCGUAUGAAUGGUUGGACAAAAGAAAAACUCUCUUUAUAUUAAUUUUAAAUUUAACUUUUAAGUGAAAAGGCUUAAAUAUUCUAAAGGGACGAUAAGACCCUAUAAAACUUUACAUUGUAAUUAUAUUAUAAGUUGAAUUUUUAAUAAGAAUUUUAAUAAAUUAUUUGUUGUGUUGGGGAGACAUAAGUAAAAGUAAUUUUAACUACUUAAUAAUUUAUAACAAUUAUAAAUGAAUUAUAAAAGAUCCUUGAUUAAGAUUGGAAGUUUAAGUUACUUUAGGGAUAACAGCGUAAUUUUUUUUGAGAGUUCAUAUCGAAAAAAGAGAUUGCGACCUCGAUGUUGAAUUAAGAUAUCUAUAUAUUGUAGAAAGUAUAUAAGAAGGUCUGUUCGACCUUUAAAUU
rnacentral:rRNA from 1 species